CUACGGGCUGCACCAGUGGGGAAUAUUGGACAAUGGGGGAAACCCUGAUCCAGCAAUGCCGCGUGUGCGAUGAAGGCCUGCGGGUUGUAAAGCACUUUCGGUGGGGAAGAAAUGCUCAAAUAUAAUACAUUUGAGAGCUGACGUUACCCACAGAAGAAGCACCGGCAAACUCUGUGCCAGCAGCCGCGGUAAUACAGAGGGUGCAAGCGUUAAUCGGAGUUACUGGGCGUAAAGGGCGCAUAGGCUGAUGCUUAAGUCGGUUGUGAAAUCCCUGGGCUUAACCUAGGAAUUGCAGUCGAUACUGGGCGUCUAGAGUAUGGUAGAGGAAAGUGGAAUUUUCGGUGUAGUGGUUAAAUACGUAGAUAUCGAAAAGAACACCAGUGGCGAAGGCGACUUUCUGGACCAAUACUGACGCUGAGGCGCGAAAGCAUGGGGAGCAAACAGGAUUAGAUACCCCCGUAGUC
rnacentral:rRNA from 1 species